rnacentral:rRNA from 1 species
UACAGGGGGUGCAAACGUUGCUCGGAAUCAUUGGGCGUAAAGCGCACGUAGGCGGUUCGUUAUGUCGGAUGUGAAAGCCCUUGGCUUAACCGAGGAAGUGCAUCCGAAACUGGCGAGCUAGAGUACGAAAGAGGAUCGCGGAAUUCCCGGUGUAGAGGUGAAAUUCGUAGAUAUCGGGAGGAACACCGGUGGCGAAGGCGGCAUCCUGGACCGGUAUUGACGCUGAGGCGCGAAAGCUAGGGGAGCAAACGGG